rnacentral:rRNA from 1 species
UACGCCUGAAUAGGGUGAAGCCAGAGGAACCUCUGGUGGAGGCUAGUAGCGAUUCUGCCGUGCAAAUCGAUCGUUGAAUUUGGGUAUAGGGGCGAAAGCCUAAUCGAACCAUCUAGUAGCUGGUUCCUUCUGAAGUUUCCCUCAGGAUAGCAGAAGCUCAUUUCAGAUUUAUGCGGUAAAGCGAAUGAUUAGAGGCCUCGGGGUUGAAACAACCUUAACCUAUUCUCUACCUUUAAAUAUGUAAGAACGAGUUGUCACUUUAUUGGCCUGCUUGGAUGAUUGAGAGCUUCUAGGGGGCCAUUUUUGGUAAGCAGAACGGCCGAUGUGGGAUGAACCAGACGUGAGGCUAAGGUGCCAGAGUUCACGCUCAUCAGACUCCACUAAAGGUGUUAGUUCAUCUAGACAGCAGGCAGGUGGCCAUGGAAGUCGGAAUCCCCUAAGGAGUGUGUAACCACUCCCCAACCGAAUGACCUAGCCCAGAAAAUGGAGCACUUUUCAGCGUGACACCCAUACCUCCCCAUCAGUGCUGAAGUGAUGCACUGAUGAGUAGGCAGGCGUGGAGCUCAGUGAAGAAGCUCGGCAGUA